rnacentral:Y_RNA from 1 species
GGCUGGUCUGAUGGUAGUGGGUUAUCAGAACUUACUAACAUUAGUGUCACUGAAGUUGUUAUACAACCCCAUCGCUAAAUUUGACGGUUUUUA